rnacentral:rRNA from 1 species
GACGAACGCUGGCGGCGUGCUUAACACAUGCAAGUCGAACGAAGAGCGAUGGAAGCUUGCUUCUAUCAAUCUUAGUGGCGAACGGGUGAGUAACGCGUAAUCAACCUGCCCUUCAGAGGGGGACAACAGUUGGAAACGACUGCUAAUACCGCAUACGAUCUGACCUCGGCAUCGAGGAUAGAUGAAAGGUGGCCUCUAUUUAUAAGCUAUCACUGAAGGAGGGGAUUGCGUCUGAUUAGCUAGUUGGAGGGGUAACGGCCACCAAGGCGAUGAUCAGUAGCCGGUCUGAGAGGAUGAACGGCCACAUUGGGACUGAGACACGGCCCAGACUCCUACGGGAGGCAGCAGUGGGGAAUCUUCCGCAAUGGACGAAAGUCUGACGGAGCAACGCCGCGUGAGUGAUGACGGCCU